CUGCGCUGGUCCCAGUCCCCAUGCAUCAGAGGGGCACAGCCCUGCACAGGGCUGGAUGCGCCGACCCCCAGACCCCCAUCCAAGGCAGCCCCCGCCAGUGCUGCUCCUGCAAACAGGUCCUGGCUGGGCAGCGUGAGCCCUGGAGCGUGGCCAAGGGGUGACCACAAACAACCGGGUCGGUUACAGGUGGAAACCGGCAGCACUUGGGAACUCACUGGAGAGGAACCAGGGCGGGGGGGAGCUGGAGAACAAGAUGGGGGGACCCACAUCAAGGUCAGGAUUGAGGGGCACCAGCAGGAGUGGGUUGGAGCCCAGGGCUAGCGAGGGCUGUGGGUCGAGGUUGAGGGGCACCGGAGAGGUGGGGGGCAGUGGGGGAACCCAGGAAUGACGGGGGCUGUGGGUCAGAGUUGAUGGGCAGUGGAGGAGCUCAGAGCUAGCGGGGGCUGUGGGUCGGAGUUGAGGGGCAGUGGAGAGCUGGGGGGGCAGUGGGGGAGAUCAUGGCUAGCGGGGGCUGUGGGUCGGGGUGCAGGGGCAGUAGAGAGGUGGGGGGGAGCCCAGGGCUAGCGAGGGCUGUGGGUUGGGGUUGAGGGGCAGUAGAGAGGUUGGGAGGAGCCCAGGGCUAAUGGGGGCUGUGGGUCGGGGUAAAGGGGCACCGGAGAGGUGGGGGGCAGUGGGGGAACCCAGGACUGACGGAGGCUGUGGGUCGGGGUUGAGGUGCAGUAGAGAGGUGGAGGGGAGCCCAGGGCUAGCGAGGGCUGUGGGUCAGGGUUGAGGGGCACCAGAGAGGUGGGGGGCAGUGGGGGAACCCAGGACUGACGGGGGCUGUGGGUCGGGGUUGAGGGGCAGUAGAGAGGUGGGGGGGAGCCCAGGGCUAGUGAGGGCUGUGGGUUGGGGUUGAGGGGCAGUGGAGAUGGGGGGGUCAGCAGGGUCGCCCAGGGCUAGCGAGGGCUGUGGGUCAGGGUUGAGGGGCAGUAGAGAGGUGGAGGGGAGCCCAGGGCUAGAGAGGGCUGUGGGUCGGGGUUGAGGGGCAGUGGAGAUGGGGAGGGUUGCCCAGGGCUAGCGAGGGCUGUGGGUUGGGGUUGAGGGGCAGUGGAGAUGGGGGGGUCAGCAGGGUUGCCCAGGGCUAGCGAGGGCUGUGGGUCGGGGUUGAGGGGCAGU